GUCCACGCCGUAAACGAUGGAUACUAAGUGUUUGGGAAGUUAACCUCCUGAGUACUAAAGCUAACGCAUUAAGUAUCCCGCCUGGGGAGUACGGUCGCAAGGCUAAAACUCAAAGGAAUUGACGGGGGCCCGCACAAGCGGUGGAGUAUGUGGUUUAAUUCGAAGCAACGCGCAGAACCUUACCUACCUUUAACAUCCCGUGACAACUGCAGAGAUGUAGCGUUCCCUUCGGGGACACGGUGAUAGGUGCUGCAUGGCUGUCGU
rnacentral:rRNA from 1 species